rnacentral:rRNA from 1 species
CUGGGGAGUACGACCGCAAGGUUAAAACUCAAAUGAAUUGACGGGGGACCCGCACAAGCGGUGGAUCAUGUGGUUUAAUUCGAAGAUACGCGCAGAACCUUACCAACCCUUGACAUGCCUGUCGCGAGUUUAGGAAACUAGACUCUUCGGUUCGGCCGGACAGGACACAGGUGCUGCAUGGCUGUCGUCAGCUCGUGUCGCGAGAUGUUGGGUUAAGUCCCGCAACGAGCGCAACCCCUACUUUUAGUUGCCAUCAGGUAAUGCUGGGCACUCUGAAAGAACUGCCAGUGAUAAGCUGGAGGAAGGUGGGGAUGACGUCAAGUCCUCAUGGCCCUUACGGGUUGGGCUACACACGUGAUACAAUGGUAAUGACAGUGAGAUGCUAAGUGGCGACGCUAAGCUAAACUCAAAAAGUUACCUCAGUUCGGAUUGUUCUCUGCAACUCGAGAGCAUGAAGCUGGAAUCGCUAGCAAUCGUAGAUCAGCGUGCUACGGUGAAUACGUUCCCGGGUCU